rnacentral:rRNA from 1 species
GACGAACGCUGGCGGCGUGCUUAACACAUGCAAGUCGAACGGAAAGGCCCUGCUUUUGUGGGGUGCUCGAGUGGCGAACGGGUGAGUAACACGUGAGUAACCUGCCCUUGACUUUGGGAUAACUUCAGGAAACUGGGGCUAAUACCGGAUAGGAGCUCCUGCUGCAUGGUGGGGGUUGGAAAGUUUCGGCGGUUGGGGAUGGACUCGCGGCUUAUCAGCUUGUUGGUGGGGUAGUGACUUACCAAGGCUUUGACGGGUAGCCGGCCUGAGAGGGUGACCGGCCACAUUGGGACUGAGAUACGGCCCAGACUCCUACGGGAGGCAGCAGUGGGGAAUAUUGCACAAUGGGCGGGAGCCUGAUGCAGCAACGCCGCGUGCGGGAUGACGGCCUUCGGGUUGUAAACCGCUUUCGCCUGUGACGAAGCGUGAGUGACGGUAAUGGGUAAAGAAGCACCGGCUAACUACGUG